rnacentral:rRNA from 1 species
CAGUAGCCACGGGAAUACGGAGGGGGCUAGCGUUGUUCGGAAUUACUGGGCGUAAAGGGAGCGUAGGCGGACAUUUAAGUCAGGGGUGAAAUCCCAGAGCUCAACUCUGGAACUGCCUUUGAUACUGGGUGUCUUGAGUGUGAUAGAGGUAUGUGGAACUCCGAGUGUAGAGGUGAAAUUCGUAGAUAUUCGGAAGAACACCAGUGGCGAAGGCGACAUACUGGAUCAUUACUGACGCUGAGGCUCGAAAGCGUGGGGAGCAAACAGGAUUAGAUACCCCAGUAGUCCCUGUCUCUUAUAC